CUCGUGCUGUGGAGGAGUUUCCAGAAGUUCGGUAGUGUACAGUCGGUUGGCGCGCGCAGGAGUCAGGAGUGUGUGUGUGUGUGUGUGUGUGUGUGUCGCGGGGCCGGCGAUCGCUACCGCGGUCUGGAGCUCGGCGAGGAGGGGGCGCGGCCGGUGGCGGGGCAGUGGCCGCCGACCUCCAGCCGGGACAAGUAUUAGACCCACCUCCACCGCCUCGCCAAGCGCAUGAUGCCGUAGAGCCGGUUGGAGUAGUCGAUGGAGUGGCCGGGCGAGCCCCUCUCGUGCCGGCGGCGGCGGCGCCGGCAGUUGCGCACCAGCCCGCGGCGCAGCUACGACGGCGACGAGCCGCGGCGGCAGCGGCUGAGCACCGAGCCGGCCAUGGUGUGGUAGCAGCGGAGGAGGCACGAGAUGUAGUGCCCCGAGCCCUACGACCGCGAGAGCAGGUACAAGAGGAGUGGCUCGCUUGUUACGUUUGAGUGGCGCCUGCCAGCCGUUCGUACGGGCGCGAGGAGGGACGUCUGCCGGAAGAAGAUGCAGAGCGAGAUGGACCACCGGUAACGCGUCUCGCCGGUGUUCGGGACGCACGUCCGGAAGCCGCGGCUGGUCAAGCUACGCUGCCUGGGGCGCCUCAGCGACCGGGCCCCGAGGAAGAAGUUGACCACCAUGAAGCCCUAGACGCCGUCGCGCUGCCAGUGGUAGCGCGAGUACUCGAUGCAGGUCCUGUUGCAGUCGACCCCGUAACCGAAGCCCCACGGCACGCAUCAGUACCACGACCGCGAGCGGCAGAAGAACGAACCGUGGUUCUGCAUGGCCAAGAUGCUGUUGAGUCCGCUGCCGUUCCCGCGGCCGCACAAGAGGGCACAGCACCUCCGGAAGUCCCGUAGUUCUUUCUCCAGCGGUCUUCCACCUCUCGUGCCGGUACCGCUGCCGCACCUCUUACGACGGUAGCACCUCCUCCACUCCCCGAACCGCUCCGACAAGGGCUAUACCCGCUGCACGGACGAAAUGCCGCACCACAAGCGAGUCGGCGGCUGCGACAAGUGCUUCGUCCGCCGCUGCUACCUGGCCUCCCAGCCCAGCAGCCCCAAGGUCUAUGGCGGGCGCCGCGACGUCACGAAGUACCCGUAGUCGUACUAGUGGACGCAGCGCGACAUGCUGGCGCAGGACCACGGGCACCGCGCGUCCCAGAGGCCGCGGGGGAACCCAUAGUGGUACGAGGUCGCCUAGCCGUGCCCGUACCAGGACCGGCACCGGCGCGACCACCAGCGGCGCGACCACCUCUACUCCGCCGACUCGUGGCGCCACCUGCGGCCGAACCACCUGGACGGGCUGCGCCACCACGGGUACUCGGACACCACCUAGUACGGCGUCAUGCACGAGGACCCGCGCCGCCUACACAAGUGGUACCAGCCGUACGUCCUCAAGAAGAUGCUGGUCUACGGGCCGCGCGAGUUCUCGGAGCCCGAGCGCGAGAUGGAGUCGCAGGAGCCGCAGCCGUCGAAGUAGUCGUCGAAGGAGUAGAGCCGGUAGCUGCCGCGCUGCUCCUCCCCGCCUCCCUGCUCGACCUAGCGGCUGUUGGAGUUGGCCCCAGUAGAGCUGAUGAAGAUACACGAGUAGCGACGCGAGUGGCGCGACCUCGAAGAACGAAAGGAAAUGAAGAGUCCAAGAAUGCAAAUGUUUUCUUUCCGACAGUCACAAGUAACUGUGUAACCGGCUGCUUAAUACACACCAUUCAACAUACGACCGUUAAGGUGACAAGUACACGACUAAGACGGCCGUCGUUACAAAGCCAAAAUGAAAAUGAAAAAUGAUAACGAUACUCGAAUAAUAUGCCCUCGUGUCUGUGUGAACUUGUGCCGUAACGAGGGGAAGAAGUCUCAAGCCUGAUCGGUCAGACUCUUGUACCCGCGUAUCGCUAUUGACGUUCAUGGCUUCGCAUAUUUUUUGAACUCACUUGUUCUAUCUAAGU
rnacentral:rRNA from 1 species